rnacentral:rRNA from 1 species
CACGUAGGGUGCGAGCGUUGUCCGGAAUUAUUGGGCGUAAAGAGCUCGUAGGCGGUGUGUCGCGUCGGCCGUGAAAACCUGCAGCUUAACUGUGGGCUUGCGGUCGAUACGGGCAUCACUGGAGUUCGGCAGGGGAGACUGGAAUUCCUGGUGUAGCGGUGAAAUGCGCAGAUAUCAGGAGGAACACCGGUGGCGAAGGCGGGUCUCUGGGCCGAUACUGACGCUGAGGAGCGAAAGCGGGGGGAGCGAACAGG